GUCAGAAUCAUUGAGGUAUGGUACUAACAGGAGGCUUGUUUAAGCAGAAGUUGGGAAGGUUAUCACACCUGCGGAUGUUAUCCCAGUCCGCAGCUCUGUGGUCUGAUUUUAAGGGUAGCGGAAACGUGAAAGUGAGUCAGGUGUAAAAAGUUUUCUUAACAACUCCGAGGAAUAACUUAC
rfam:Desulfobacteraceae bacterium 4572_88 ex4572_88_scaffold_22840, whole genome shotgun sequence.